rnacentral:rRNA from 1 species
GAUGAACGCUGGCGGCGUGCCUAAUACAUGCAAGUCGAGCGAACGGACGAGAAGCUUGCUUCUCUGAUGUUAGCGGCGGACGGGUGAGUAACACGUGGAUAACCUACCUAUAAGACUGGGAUAACUUCGGGAAACCGGAGCUAAUACCGGAUAAUAUUUUGAACCGCAUGGUUCAAAAGUGAAAGACGGUCUUGCUGUCACUUAUAGAUGGAUCCGCGCUGCAUUAGCUAGUUGGUAAGGUAACGGCUUACCAAGGCAACGAUGCAUAGCCGACCUGAGAGGGUGAUCGGCCACACUGGAACUGAGAAACGGUCCAGACUCCUACGGGAGGCAGCAGUAGGGAAUCUUCCGCAAAGGGCGAAAGCCUGACGGAGCAACGCCGCGUGAGUGAUGAAGGUCUUCGGAUCGUAAAACUCUGUUAUUAGGGAAGAACAUAUGUGUAAGUAACUGUGCACAUCUUGACGGUACCUAAUCAGAAAGCCACGGCUAACUACGUG